rnacentral:lncRNA from 1 species
AAUUUCACGAUUAUUUGUUAAUUAAAGUGAUGCCUUGACCUUUCUUUGUAUUUGGAGGGUAAAUAAGUGAUUUCAUUUCAUUAGAGCUCCAACUUCAAGGGAGGUAAUCUCUAUCUCCUUGAUUUUAUUUUUCCAACGUGCUCCUAUGUGCUUUUUCGUGAAUUUUGCAUGUUUUAUUUCGUGCUUGUUUAUUUUAUUUUUAUUUUUAUCUACAUUGGUUGUUCUUUAAUUCCAUUUUCUUCUAAUGUAAUUAUUUGGAGGCUUGAAUGCCAAAUUUGUAAUAGUUAGGUAUUUAUUUUAUUCCUUUUCCCCCUCUUAGAUUGUAGUAGGCCCCCUUCAAAUGUAAUAGUUAGGGUUUGUUUGCUUGUGUGAUUUGCAUGCUUACGUGCUAUGUGUUACCGCUUUCUUAGGGUCUUGCAUCUAGAUAUUAUGAUUAUGUGUUAUGUGUUUAUGUGAUAUUAUGUGUUUACAUGCUUUCUUUAGACUUUACAUGAUUAAUUUAGUUAUAAUUGAUGUGUGACGUGUUAUCACACUAGUCCAAAGCAUGUUGUGAUCCAAUUCUCGAUACCACAUUAGUCCAAUGCUAGUUGUGGUUCCCUUGUCCGAUUUCUCACUAGUCCAAUGCUAGUGAGGAAGUAGAAAUAAGGGUUAGUCCAAUGCUAGACCCAAUAGGGCCGCCCCUCGCUAGUACAUACUCACAUGCCUUCAUUACAUUUCAUUCAUUUUUCCUUUUAGUAUUGCUCAUUUUGCAUGCUCCCCUAACCCUUCCCUUACACAUUUAGAACUUCGCAUCUCAUUCUAGUUAUUAGGGUCAUUUGCUUGCAUAGGUUAGGGAGUCACCCUUCUGGUAAGGGGAAUGGACGAGUGUGGCUACAUAUAGCCUUAGCACGCUCAUUCUUUUUCUAACCAAAAGGUAAAUUAAAAGUCACGAUUUAGGGUCUCCCCGUACCCAUUUUGCUUGCAUUCCUCUAGGGUUCAUGCAUUUCAUUUACCCCCUAUCACUUGCACACAUGCACUUUAUGUUAUCACACUACCCACUAUCAUUUUGCACUCUCACUUCAUAUACUAUUACUUUUUCCACAUGUUCACUUCACAUGACUCUUAUCUUACACAUUCUCACUCUACCACUAGCACUUUACAUACUACCACUGAGCACACAUACACUUCACACUAUCACUUUACAUACCUCACCUUGCACACCCAUUUGCACACUCCCACUUACGCACUAUUAUCUUUUAUUUCUUUCACUUCACACAAGCUCAUGUUUUCACAUUGCAUACAUCCAUUCCACUCAUUCUUACGUCAUUAGCCUUAUUCAUGACCUCUUGGAGGGCUUAUCCUUGGCUCUCACAACUUCAUGUGAUUUAGUCCGAUCGAACCUCUAAGAGAUAUUUGUCCCUUUCGAUGCCUCAUUAGGUUUAGGAUUGCAUUCAUAUUAGAUACAUCCAAACGCGAUACAUCUUUUGUUUAGAAAUUAGGAAAAUCAUGACUAAAUCACGCAACUAGGUUAAGCUAGGGUAAAAGGGUGCCUUAGACUUUGUCUUUGCCUUCCCUUUUAUCAACCGCGACCCCCGAACUCGUCUCUCUGAUUUUCGUAGGCUAGGAGUCAUCUAAAAAGGUUUUUACUACACUUUUUCAAAAACUACUUUUUGGGUGACUUGGUACACCCUAACUCAAUACCAAGUGGCGACUCCUGUUUUUUUCAAACCUUUUUAGAUUAUUAUUUUGGCCAAACCGUCGCAUUUAAGAGUCCCAUGGCCUUUUUUCUUUAUUUCUCACAUUCACACACUUCACAUAUUUCACACACUACACAUUAUGAUUUCAAAACGACUCUUUUCCGAUUUUCCAAAAAUGGGGCGCGACAUUGAGUAAUCGGGGAUUUUCACCUAAAAGUGUCGAUUUUCGCGUAAAAAAGGUAUUUUCACUAUUUAAGUAAAAUUAGUAUGAAUAAAUCCCUCUUAGUUAUAGAAUUUUGAGAAAAAGAUUAUUAUAGGAGGAGGAAGGCUAUAAAUUGACUAUGUGAUUUGCUUAUUUAUAAAAUUAAGUUAGGGUAAAAGAUUAAGUUUAACUUGUUGAAUUUAGGGUAUAAUUAUCUUUCCUUUACUUGAUAUUAUGAGUAUUUAGUGUAAUUUGAACAAUGAUAUAAUGAUUAUUUUCCAAGUCUUGAGGAAUUAAAUUGGACAAAGUGCAUAUAUUGUUUCACCUCUUGAAUCAUUGUAGUUGAUUAUGCGUGGAUUGCUUGAGGACAAUCAAUGAUUCAAGUGUGGGAGAGUUGAUAAGUGACUAAUUUAUGUAAUAAUUGUAUGAUAUUUUAUAUUAUUUUUAGUCACUUUAGUUAUAUUAUUGGAAGAAAAUGAAUCAUUUUGGCUAUAAUUGGUGAAAAAUGCUUUUAAGUGAUUAAAUGAGGUUUUUAUCACUUUUUAGUGGGAUUUUGUGUAUUUUGACAGUUUUGACAUAUUUUCGUAUUUCAGCUAUAAAUUGAGUUACAGUAAUCGGAUUGAGAUGAUUCUUGAACCAAUUUGAAGAUAAGAGAUAGAUCUACGACUUUGGUGAAGACAUCUGAAUCCAAUUUGAAGGUUUUCAAAGUCAAAAAGCUGAAUUACAGUAGCAAAUUUCUACUGGUCGAAGCUGAAACAAGGCUAGGCAAGGGUUUUUUGGUCAUUUCUCAGCCUACACAGAUCCAAAUGAGGUGAUUCUUGAUGUAUUGGAAAGCUAACUCAAUGGGCUACAAGUUUCAUGUUUUGGUCAAGAGCUAAAUCAGCUUUUAUCAUCAAGAAAAGUUCAGUUGAAGUUGACGCAAAAUCGGAGCAGAGCUGGAAAUUGAACAAAAGUGCACUAAAGUGGCACUGUAGCAAUCCGGCCGGAAUCUAGCCGGAUUUGUGGCCGGAUUUAUGGCCGGAUUGUGGUCAGAGAAGGCUGCUCUUUACGCGAAAAACUUAUUUUCACCUCCAACAAGUCAUAUGCAAUGCCAGGCAUGUGAGAACCACUUUGCAGCUGUAAAAGGGUGGUGCAGGCCUCAUUUUCUUGACUUCCUUUGUCUCGAUAUAGCCAAAUUCAUUGCAAGAUUGGAGAAUAGAGAGACAUAUGGGAGAACUUGGAGAGUGCAGAAAUGUGGCUCUUUCAUCUUCUAAGUGUUAGGUUAGCAUUAGUGUAGACUAGUAUAGUUCAUCCAUCCUUGUAUGUUAGCUAGAUUAGGAUGAAGAUGGAGAUGAAGAAGAAGGAGUUGAAGCUCAAGUGACAUGGGUUAUCUCUUCUCCAACUCUUUAUCUUUUGUAUCAGAUUCUUAAGUAUGGUUAAUAUACAAGUUCUAGAUUUUGUGUUUAAUAUGUAUCUUUAAAGUUAAUGCCUUAGGUUUGGUUGAAUUUUCUAUAAUUGUUAGUGUUUAUUAUUUGGUUA